rnacentral:sRNA from 12 species
AGAUUUGCUUGUAUAGUGGCAAGCAGGAUAAUAAUAAAGAAACACUAUAUUAAGA